GAUUGUACAGAAGUAACCAGGGCAGCCAAGAGAAGUGGGCAAUCCCCAGACGGAUGCUAGGAAGGCUUCCCGGAGGUGGUGGCACAUGAGGAAUGAGGAAGAAUUUGCUAAAUGGACAUUUCCUAAGUGGACAAGAAUUUUUGGACUCAGUACCAUGGUGUGGUGGCACCCAGUUACAAAUGCAGCUCUUCCCCCACCUUCAGCACCACAUUCUAUGGAACUCCCCACCUCACCAACCAGUACCAAACAAGACGCUUCUGACCUUGACCGCGACCUGCUGGAGCAAGAUAUGAAUCGUGUUUGACUGAUUUCAGAUGGCUCCUGAGAGGGAAGUGCUCUCUGCAGUGUCUCCGCCGUACUCAAAACAAACAAGCCGCAGCCCGAGAGCUCUGUGGUGGGACAUGACCCAAACACUGAAGUCUUUAUGGCCCAAAGUCACCUCUCCAGAAUGCACU